UUGUCGUAGAUGGCGUGAGUGAAAGCCUGGCCGCGCUAUCACUCUCCAUGGGAUGACGUAUUUUUUUGCGCACGAACCCUGCCGCAUUUUUCCCGAAACAGCGGAUUUUGUCUUCAGGGUCGGCAUGAAGGAGGCAAAGGGUUUCGGACGGUUGGCGCCAUGAACGGUCAAGAGAGCCGCGGCGCCGCAGAAAGGCAAAUCGCCCAUACGUCGAAGGCCUGCUGCGCUGCUUCUAAUGAUGAUAAAAUAGUAUUAUACAAAUUAAUUGUGUGAAUGAUGACAAUGAUGAGGGAUUGGCUGAAGAGUGUCAGGCCUAGCAGCGGUCUUCACGACGGUGGAUUUUGCGGGGCCGCCACGGCCUGCUGACUUAUAGCAGUCAGUCUCAAGCGUCUGGCGAGGGUUCCCUGCUUGCCGGGUAUACAGACGAUCCGGCCAAAUUUCCGGUGACGAAGGAAGUCCAGCACCCCCGUGGUGGAGCUCCAGGGGUUGGCGCCGGUGUUGGCUGGCGGUGGUCUUCGCGAAAGCGGGUCUUGGUGUAUAUGCCAGUUUGCGGUCGAGCUUGUGACCGAACAGGUAGGCAUCCUGUCGGUUGGCUCUUUGACGAUGAAAAAAGAACACGUCUACGCUCCGCUGGCUUCGUCUUGUUUUUCACAACUCUUGGCAGCACGAAGGACUGCUUGCGUGGCGGUCUGCUCGUGGAAAACCUUGCUAAAUGCCAGCUGUCGCGCUCCGGGUAAGUGACAGACCCGUUUCAAAAUCCCAUCAAGCAACGUUGGCGCUCGAGAGCUUAGCUGACGCGAUGGAUGGUAUACUUCAUUUGUCGUCUCUGUAAGAACAUUGAGGUCGGUUUCACGAGGGCAGAAGGAGAGUGGGCGGCUAAGUUUG